CCAAAAGUGGCACAAUGGUUAGCGCUGCUGCUUCUCAGUAAGGUGGUCCCAGGUUCAAGCCCCGGCUGGUGGA